GGGCGUAUUAACUGAGAGUGUGAGAGGUGAAGGAAGCUAAUCUUGACCAUUCAAUCUUAAUAGGGAUUCGGUGUUCGUGAUUAGCUUCUUUCACCUUUCCCACUUUCACCUAAUAGGCUC
rnacentral:pre_miRNA from 1 species